rnacentral:rRNA from 1 species
AGCGAACGCUGGCGGCAGGCUUAACACAUGCCAGUCGAGCGGGCACUUCGGUGUCAGCGGCAGACGGGUGAGUAACACGUGGGAACGUACCCUUUGGUUCGGAAUAACGCUGGGAAACUAGCGCUAAUACCGGAUACACCCUUUUGGGGAAAGGCUUGCUGCCGAAGGAUCGGCCCGCGUCUGAUUAGGUGGUUGGUGGGGUAAUGGCCUACCAAGGCGACGAUCAGUAGCUGGUCUGAGAGGAUGAUCAGCCACACUGGGACUGAGACACGGCCCAGACUCCUACGGGAGGCAGCAGUGGGGAAUAUUGGACAAGGGGCGCAAGCCUGAUCCAGCCAUGCCGGGUGAGUGAUGAAGGCCUUAGGGUUGUAAAGCUCUUUUGGCCGGGACGAUAAUGACGGUACCGGAAGAAUAAGCCCCGGCUAACUUCGUG